GGAUAAUGAUGACAAUGUGUGAUAAGGUCUCGUUCGUCGUAAUGGUGAGAAUUAAUGUUUUAACCUUGACGACCAUUCUGUUAUAUCACCACCCAUAAACUGAGUCC
rfam:Helianthus annuus linkage group 10, whole genome shotgun sequence.